rfam:Botryotinia fuckeliana T4 unplaced genomic scaffold BcT4_SuperSuperContig_C_V3_A__V4, whole genome shotgun sequence.
GGGGAUGUGGUCUAGUGGUUAAGACACCUGUCAUAUAGUUUGGGUUGGAUGAGCCAGCGCGGUCUCUCGGGACGUGCGGGUCCUAACCCUGCCGUGAGUACAGGUGACGGUAGUUCAAUCCUAUCCAUCUCUA